GAAACAUAAAUCUUAUCAGUCAAACAGGAGUGCAAGGAAUACUUACAAAUGUAUUGUUCUGUGCCGAAGUACCAUAUAAUUUAAUAUCGGUAUCAAAGAUGCAGCAAGCAGGAUUCACCAUAAUAUUUGAUGACAAAGGCACACAAAUUACAAAGGAAGGUAAAAUCAUCAUGAAAGGUAACCAGUUGGCAGACUUGUUGACAAAACCUUUACCAGUCGUGUCUUUUAUAAGACUGAGAAAAGGAUUGGGUAUAGAAUAAGUUUUAAUUUAAGUACAAUUUCAUUAUGAAAUGGUCUGAUCAGGUUUUCUGGGUUUCCCUGAUCCUGUGCAGCAAAUGUUGGACCAUUAUUGUACAGUUGUCCCAGACCUUACUUGGAAGUAUAAUAUGUUACGUCGUAUUUAUAAGUUGGUAUUCACUUUGUAAUGUUGAAUUGUAGACUAGAUACUGUAUAGUAAACUAACGAAUGACUAAAAGUUAGGGAUUAAUUUUUGAGGGGGCGUGUUGGAUUAUAUAAAGCAAAAACUAAUACCCCUAACUUUCGAUAACAUUGUUCUUUGUUCUAUCUGAACAAUCUACUGUUUAUUUAACUCUACACACACUGCGUCACGGGAUCUUGUUAGACGGACGUAUUGCUUCCAAGUACCAUUUAAAGUAUAGAAUAAAUAUUUCAAUAUCAAA